UACGGAGGGCGCAAGCGUUGUCCGGAUUUACUGGGUGUAAAGGGUGUGUAGGUGGAAUUUCAAGUCAGUGGUGAAAGCCUGCGGCUUAACCGUAGAAUUGCCAUUGAUACUGUUGUUCUUGAGUACUGGAGAAGUUACUAGAAUUCGUGGUGUAGCGGUGAAAUGCGUAGAUAUCACGAGGAAUACCAGAGGCGUAGGCGGGUAACUAGACAGAUACUGACACUGAGGCACGAAAGCGUAGGGAGCAAACAGG
rnacentral:rRNA from 1 species